rnacentral:rRNA from 1 species
GACGAACGCUGGCGGCGUGCCUAACACAUGCAAGUCGAGCGGAGAAAGUUCUUCGGAACUUUCUCAGCGGCGGACGGGUGAGUAACACGUGGGUAACCUGCCUUAUAGAGGGGGAUAGCCUUCCGAAAGGAAGAUUAAUACCGCAUAACAUUUUCGUUUCGCAUGAAAUGAAAAUCAAAGGAGCAAUCCGCUAUAAGAUGGACCCGCGGCGCAUUAGCUAGUUGGUGAGGUAAUGGCUCACCAAGGCGACGAUGCGUAGCCGACCUGAGAGGGUGAUCGGCCACAUUGGAACUGAGAUACGGUCCAGACUCCUACGGGGGGCAGCAGUGGGGAAUAUUGCACAAUGGGGGAAACCCUGAUGCAGCAACGCCGCGUGAGUGAUGAAGGCCUUCGGGUUGUAAAGCUCUGUCUUUGGGGACGAUAAUGACGGUACCCAAGGAGGAAGCCACGGCUAACUACGUGCCAGCCGCCGCCGUAA